rnacentral:rRNA from 1 species
AAAAAGCUCGUAGUUGGAUUUCUGUUGAGGACAGCCGGUCCGCACUAUGUGCGUGUAUCUGGUUUGGCCUUGGCAUCCUCUUGAAGAACGUCACUGCGCUUGAUUGCGUGGUGCGGUAUUCAAGACUUUUACUUUGAGGAAAUUAGAGUGUUCACGGCAGGCAAGCGCCUUGAAUACAUUAGCAUGGAAUGAUAAUAUAGGAUCUUGGUUCUAUUUUGUUGGUUUCUAGGGCUAAGGUAAUGAUUAAUAGGGAUAAUUGGGGGCAUUUGUAUUAACGCGUCAGAGGUGGAAUUCUUGGAUUGCGUUACGACAAACUACUGCGAAAGCAUUUGCCAAGGAUGUUUUCAUUGAUCAAGAACGAAAGUAUAGGGAUCGAAGAUGAUUAGAUACCGUCGUAGUCUAUACCAUAAACUAUGCCGACUAGGGAUUGGAGGUCGU